rnacentral:rRNA from 1 species
ACGUAGGGGGCAAGCGUUGUCCGGAUUUACUGGGCGUAAAGCGCGCGUAGGCGGAAGCGGCAGUCCGGCCUGAAAGCCCCCGGCUCAACCGGGGAGUGCGGCUGGAAACUCCGUUUCUUGAGGGCGAUAGAGGAGUGUGGAAUUCCUGGUGUAGCGGUGAAAUGCGUAGAGAUCAGGAGGAACACCGGUGGCGAAGGCGCUCAUCUGGCCCAAUACUGACGCUGAGGCGCGAAAGCUAGGGGAGCAAACGGGA